rnacentral:rRNA from 1 species
CCUACGGGUGGCAGCAGUGGGGGAUAUUGCACAAUGGGGGAAACCCUGAUGCAGCAACGCCGCGUGAGUGAAGAAGGUCUUCGGAUUGUAAAGCUCUGUUCUUGGUGAAGAUAAUGACGGUAGCCAAGGAGAAAGCUCCGGCUAACUACGUGCCAGCAGCCGCGGUAAUACGUAGGGAGCGAGCGGUGUCCGGAUUUACUGGGUGUAAAGGGUGCGCAGGCGGCUCUGCAAGUCAGGCGUGAAAGCUAGGGGCUCAACCCCUAAAUUGCGCUUGAAACUGUGGAGCUUGAGUGAAGUAGGGGCAGGCGGAAUUCCUGGUGUAGCGGUGAAAUGCGUAGAUAUCAGGAGGAACACCGGUGGCGAAGGCGGCCUGCUGGACUGCAACUGACGUUGAGGCCCGAAAGCGUGGGGAGCAAACAGGAUUAGAUACCCGUGUAGUC